rnacentral:rRNA from 1 species
CGAACGGGUGAGUAACGCGUGAGGAACCUGCCUCAAAGAGGGGGACAACAGUUGGAAACGACUGCUAAUACCGCAUAAGCCCACAGCUCGGCAUCGAGCAGAGGGAAAAGGAGCAAUCCGCUUUGAGAUGGCCUCGCGUCCGGUUAGCUAGUUGGUGAGGUAACGGCCCACCAAGGCGACGAUCGGUAGCCGGACUGAGAGGUUGAACGGCCACAUUGGGACUGAGACACGGCCCAA